rnacentral:rRNA from 1 species
GCGCAGCAGUCGCGAAAACUUCACAAUGUGCGAAAGCACGAUGAGGGAAUCCCAAGUGCUUGCACGUAAGUGUAAGCUGUUUCUCUGUCUAAAACGCAGAGAGAGUAAGGGCUGGGUAAGACGGGUGCCAGCCGCCGCGGUAAUACCUGCAGCUCGAGUGGUGACCGUUAUUAUUGGGCCUAAAACGUCCGUAGCCGGUUUAAUAAAUGCCUGGGUAAAUCGGACCGCUUAACGGUUCGAAUUCCGGGUAGACUGUUAAACUUGAGACCGGGAGAAGUUAGAGGUACUCCUGGGGUAGAGGUGAAAUUCUGUAAUCCUAGGGGGACCACCAGUGGCGAAGGCGUCUAACUAGAACGGGUCUGACGGUGAGGGACGAAGCCCUGGGGCGCAAACGGGGAUUAGAUA